rnacentral:lncRNA from 1 species
CGUCAUUACAGUGCUGGCGGGUUGAUGGUACUGCCCAUGGAGCCGCCCACUGCCCUGCCCAAAAGAUUAUCUAAACAGCGCCAUUUUCCCCGGCCGCUCUCUCGCAUUACUCCGGUUAGAACCAUGGCGAAAGUACGAUCUGAAAAAGAGGCAGCGUUUGCUCUGUUGUUGGCUGCACAAACGAGCACAAAACUCCCUCGUCGGAGGAUUUGAGGACUCAAUGGGUGGAUUUUAUUUAUAAUGGGAAUGUACCCGCGGCACUUCCAAAAUAUCUGUACGUAUGUGUGUACCAUUUCACUUCGGACUGUUUUAUCAACGAGGGACAGUUCAACGCUGGAUUUGCUAGAUGUCUGAAGAUAAAGAAUGGAUCCGUACCAACUAUCCGUGAUCCUGCUACAAACGUGGCACCUGUAAGUACAGAACGUUUUAUUUUGACUUACUGUUUAGCGUAAAUUCCCCCGGUGCCUCUGCACGGCCACCACGCUUCGAUAAACACACCGAAUCCGCGCCGGUUUACCGGAUCCUUCCGUAUUUUAGCCGCUCGCUUCGGUGGCCCCUCCAGAGCAGCAUGUAGCUUUAGCAUUUACCCGUGCGGCGACGCGCCUCUUUUGGCUCAAAUACGGGACGUCCCGGCUACGCGUGACCCACCUGGCAGCUUUGAAUAAUACACAGGAUAUGUCGACUUGGUCGCUUGAAGUCGCGUUUCGUCUGAACGCGGCUGAGAGUUUUUUCUCUGGGUCAGACUCUGGCUCAAACUGGUAGGGUUGUACGAGCGAUCUUCUUGCAGCUAUGACCGAGCCAGUGUAAACAUUAGCACAUGGCUAUCGGAGCACAGCCACAGCCCCUUCCAGAGAGAUGGGUGUAAAGUGGACGUGGCUUAGGUGCAGCUCAUAUCAUCAAAGAGACAUCGCCCAAAACGGAGGAUUCUGAGCGGAGCUGUUUUUAGCUGAAAAAAAGAGCACUAAAAUAAUUGAUCCAAAUCGAAUUUUGACCGAAGGACGUCACAGACAUGCUUUUAACACACCAGGGGACUAUUUUAAAUUGUGUGAAAUUGGCAUGCCAUGGGACUUUUAACUAAUAGGAAUCAAUGUAGCUCUUUCCUUUAUAAAUUAAAGAACACCAUGAAGUCAAAGCACGUCAUAACACAAAUAUUGUACCAUAUGUGUUGUUUCACAGAUACUGACUUUUGCAUCCAGGACAGGAAUCUUCUCACCUAUCCUAAAGAUGAGUUGAUCCUAUCUAUAUCACUUUUAUGGAGGUUUUCCUUGAUAACUAUACAGAUGAUCAACAAAAUGCAGAAUAGGAACUCAUGAGUACUUGUGGAUGAUAUUCCAAAGCUCGAUUCCAUCAUCUCUGUAGUAGUAGUUGGGUAUUGCCUCCAGCCCACGCUCAGCAAUGUCGUCUGGUAUGCAGAGGGAGC